rnacentral:lncRNA from 1 species
AUAAUAUUUUACAGACAUCAGACUCUCGUGGAAUGUUUUGAAUUUGAACAAAAUCUUCAAGAUCAAGAAAUAGCAUCUGAAUAAAAAAAAGUUCGAUCUCUUAUAUCUUCCUCUUAUUUUAUUGAUUAAUAAAAUUUGUUUUUUUUACAGUCAAUAUCACACUUUUACACUGAGAACAGUAAUGGCAGACGAGACAGAGCGUUCUGUGGAACUCUUUACGAAUGUUUGAAGGUAUAUACUCGCGUCUGUAUUUGAAACUAUACAUAUGCUUUUGUUUGAUUGGUUUUGAUAAAACUAUUUUCUUAG